rnacentral:lncRNA from 1 species
CCUCGUUUGAUUUGAGCUUUCCAUGAAGCCUCGAUGGCAUCUUGGAGCCUGCUCCAGCAAGCUAGGGUUUUUGCAUGCAUAUUUGUUUGUUUCUCGUUUUCAUCCAUCAUGUCUCAGCGUGAGAAAAUGAUUGGUUGCUCGCUCCUUUCUCACCUCGUGCACGCAUUAAGGGCGUUUCCAACAAUGUUCUUGAAUCGCUAGCUGAUGUGUACACAAGAGAAGGUAGAAAAUGUACGAGAAUCGAAAACCGAUUUAGAGAAAUAGAGAGAGAUGUGUGUGUGUGUGAGUGUUGGGUAUUUUAAACGCAAAUAGAAAAAUCCGCAAGCGCACGGAUACCGAUGUAGCUUUCACCCGGGAGUAUUCCAGAGUAUCGAUUUUCCACAAAGAAUGUGAGUGUACUAAUUAAGAUCCAAGAUCGCCCAAGGAUAACUAUAUAAUUAUUUUUGGUGGGAAGAGAGGAAGUUUCCUGAGAGUUCUCUAGUUGAUCUAAGAAUCAUGAAUUACUUCAAGAUUAUCUAUAUCGGGACAUCAGAGCACUAACCACAGAAAGAGAUGAGAAGGG